rnacentral:tRNA from 1 species
AAGCCCGUGGCUCAAUUGUUAGAGCCUUUGACUUCUGAUCAAUGGGUCCGGGUUUG